rnacentral:tRNA from 1 species
UGGAGUGCUAGCUCAGUUGGGAGAGCAUUUGCCUUACAAGCAAAGGGUCAGGGGUUCGAGUCCCUUGCACUCCACCAUGCCGACUUAGCUCAAUAGGUAGAGCAACUGACUUGUAAUCAAUAGGUUGUGGGUUCAAUUCCUAUAGUCGGCACCAU